GACGAACGCUGGCGGCGUGCUUAACACAUGCAAGUCGAACGGAAAGGCCCUGCUUUUGUGGGGUGCUCGAGUGGCGAACGGGUGAGUAACACGUGAGUAACCUGCCCUUUACUUUGGGAUAACUUCAGGAAACUGGGGCUAAUACCGGAUAGGAGCUCCUGCUGCAUGGUGUGGGUUGGAAAGUUUCGGCGGUUGGGGAUGGACUCGCGGCUUAUCAGCUUGUUGGUGGGGUAGUGGCUUACCAAGGCUUUGACGGGUAGCCGGCCUGAGAGGGUGACCGGCCACAUUGGGACUGAGAUACGGCCCAGACUCCUACGGGAGGCAGCAGUGGGGAAUAUUGCACAAUGGGCGGAAGCCUGAUGCAGCAACGCCGCGUGCGGGAUGACGGCUUUCGGGUUGUAAACCGCUUUCGCCUGUGACGAAGCGUGAGUGACGGUAAUGGGUAAAGAAGCACCGGCUAACUACGUG
rnacentral:rRNA from 1 species